UAAGACGUAGGGCGCGAGCGUUGUCCGGAUUUAUUGGGCGUAAAGAGCUCGUAGGCGGCUUGUCGCGUCGACUGUGAAAACCCGCGGCUCAACCGCGGGCCUGCAGCCGAUACGGGCAGGCUAGAGUUCGGUAGGGGAGACUGGAAUUCCUGGUGUAGCGGUGAAAUGCGCAGAUAUCAGGAGGAACACCGAUGGCGAAGGCAGGUCUCUGGGCCGAUACUGACGCUGAGGAGCGAAAGCGUGGGGAGCGAACAGGAUUAGAUACCCUGGUAGUCCACGCUGUAAACGUUGGGCGCUAGGUGUGGGGGACCUCUCCGGUUCUCUGUGCCGCAGCUAACGCAUUAAGCGCCCCGCCUGGGGAGUACGGCCGCAAGGCUA
rnacentral:rRNA from 1 species